rnacentral:lncRNA from 1 species
CGAGCCUUCUUCGUGGAAGUGGAACCUUCCUGUCUGAGUCGAACCUGCUGAAGUUAUUGCACACAACAAAGAAUGUAGCGUGGCGUGGCCGGAACCAACUAAUCUCACGGCUGCGGAUGUCUCAGACGUCCGGUAGAGGUGUCCUCUUUAGUCGCGCCCCGCUCUUGGGGGUGUGUAGAGAAAGUGACUCGCAUACGUAUAUAUUCGUGUUCGUCGCUGGAGCGAGCUUCGUGGGUAUACAAGAGAAUCGUUGGCUUGUAUAAAAGAAGCUACCAUGAGAAACAUAUUGUGCUGCUACGUCUUGCUGUUGCUUGCAGGUGAACUGGUUCGCUCUCAAGAGCCUGCAAGCUGUCUCGACCGGAGAGUUCUGCUGAAUACUGGAAAAGAAUACCUCAGGUCCUUGGUAGCUAAGCUUAUACCAAAGUACGUCAAGGACUACAUAUCCGGCCUGCCCCAAGAAGAAUUCAAAAGCAUGCGGGAGAUCCAGGAUUAUCCGUAGCUUCCUUUUGUUACUCUUCGCAACCUCAUAGAAAUUACAAGCUACUAAAUAAACUGCCAGAGAGAAAGCUAACGUGGUUUCUGUUUACGCCGGCGGCACCAUGGGUCGGUAAGAGCCACGAAGCCGGACGUAGUGCACCG